rnacentral:rRNA from 1 species
UACGUAGGGGGCAAGCGUUGUCCGGAUUUAUUGGGCGUAAAGAGCGUGUAGGCGGCCAGACAGGUCAGCUGUGAAAACUCGAGGCUCAACCUCGAGACGUCGGUUGAAACCGUCUGGCUAGAGUCCGGAAGAGGAGAGUGGAAUUCCCGGUGUAGCGGUGAAAUGCGCAGAUAUCGGGAAGAACACCCGUGGCGAAGGCGGCUCUCUGGGACGGUACUGACGCUGAGACGCGAAAGCGUGGGGA